rnacentral:rRNA from 1 species
UGCCAGCCGCCGCGGUAAUACGGAGGGUGCAAGCGUUAUCCGGAAUCACUGGGUUUAAAGGGUGCGUAGGCGGCUAAAUAAGUCAGAAGUGAAAGCCUGCGGCUUAACCGUAGAAUUGCUUUUGAUACUGUAUAGCUUGAAUUAGGUUGAGGUUGGCGGAAUGUGACAUGUAGCGGUGAAAUGCAUAGAUAUGUCAUAGAACACCAAUUGCGAAGGCAGCUGACUAGACCUUAAUGGACGCUGAUGCACGAAAGCGUGGGGGGAGAACAGGAGUGGAUA